AUUGAACGCUGGCGGAAUGCUUUACACAUGCAAGUCGAACGGUAGAGGGGGCAACCCCUUGAGAGUGGCGAACGGGUGAGUAAUAUAUCGGAACGUGCCCAGUCGUGGGGAUAACGUAGCGAAAGUUACGCUAAUACCGCAUACGAUCUACGGAUGAAAGCGGGGGGACUCGCAAGAGCCUCGCGCGAUUGGAGCGGCCGAUAUCAGAUUAGGUAGUUGGUGGGGUAAAGGCUCACCAAGCCAACGAUCUGUAGCUGGUCUGAGAGGACGACCAGCCACACUGGAACUGAGACACGGUCCAGACUCCUACGGGAGGCAGCAGUGGGGAAUUUUUGGGACAAUGGACGCAAGUCUGAUCCAGCCAUUCCGCGUGCAGGAUGAAGGCCCUCGGGUGUAACUGCUUUGUACGGAACGAAAAGGUUUCUAUUAAUACUAGGAGCUCAUGACGGUACCGUAAGAAUAAGACACGGCUAAACUACGUGCCAGCAGCCGCGGUAAA
rnacentral:rRNA from 1 species